rfam:Schistocephalus solidus strain NST_G2 genome assembly, scaffold: SSLN_scaffold0000368
GAGCCCGUGGCUCAGUGGUUAGAGCGCUGGACUUCUGAUUAAGGGGUCGCGGGUUCG